rnacentral:rRNA from 1 species
GGUAUCCCUCAGUAACGGCGAGUGAACGGUAACAGCUCAAAUUUGAAAUCUGCCGCAAGGCCGAGUUGUAAUUUGUAGAAGAUGCUUUGGGUAUGGCCCCGGUCUAAGUUCGUUGGAACACGACGUCAUAGAGGGUGAGAAUCCCGUAUGUGACUGGGUGCUUUUGCCUAUGUAAAGCUCUUUCGACGAGUCGAGUUGUUUGGGAAUGCAGCUCAAAAUGGGUGGUAUAUUUCAUCUAAAGCUAAAUAUUGGCCAGAGACCGAUAGCGCACAAGUAGAGUGAUCGAAAGAUGAAAAGCACUUUGGAAAGAGAGUUAAACAGUACGUGAAAUUGUUGAAAGGGAAGCGCUUGCAACCAGACUUGCACGCUGUUGAUCAUCCAGGCUUCUGUUUGGUGCACUCGGCAGCGUUCAGGCCAGCAUCGGUUUUGGUGGUGGGAUAAAGGCCUUGGGAAUGUAGCUUCUUUCGGGGAGUGUUAUAGCCCUCGGUGCAAUGCCGCCUACCGGGACCGAGGACCGCGCUUCGGCUAGGAUGCUGGCGUAAUGGUUGUAAGCGACCCGUCUUGAAACACGGACCAAGGAGUCUAACAUCUAUGCGAGUGUUUGGGUGUCAAACCCAUACGCGUAAUUAACGUGAACGGAGGUGAGAACCCUUAAGGGUGCAUCAUCGACCGAUCCUGAUGUCUUCGGAUGGAUUUGAGUAAGAGCAUAGCUGUUGGGACCGAAAGAUGGUGAACUAUGCCUGAAUAGGUGAACCAGAAGAAACUCUGGUGGAGCUCGCAGCGGUCUGACGUGCAAAUCGAUCGUCAAAUUUGGGUAUAGGGCGAAGACUAAUCGAACAUCUAU